CAAAGGAAGAGUAUUUGCCCUCCUUGACAUGGCCUUCUCUCUUGCCUGACCUUCCCCACCCUUGCUGCUGCGGAUUUCUUGACCGAUAUUAGAACCAGCCAUCUCAGGCUUCCAGCAAGGAUUGAGGACCAGCUGUUCUCCAAGAAGCCUCCUGGCUCUUUGGUGCCAAAUGGAGACUGAUGAAGCAUCCAGCCCUGUGGACUGCAGACUGAGCAGCUUCAGGGUUCUCUCCAGUGACUGACUUUGAGGCUCCAGCCUCAGACCAGCAGCUGCACAGCUUUCCGCCUCUCAGAGAACCUUGACUAUGAGGAGCCCUUGGCUUCAGUGACAGUGACCAGUGACGGUGCAUAUUGACUGAUUAUUGUGUAUUAUUCCCCUUUCAUGAAUCCUUAUGAAACCCUUCACACUGUAGUGUAGGCAUUGCCUCGCUUUGCAGAUAAGAACAUUAAAUGUAGCAGCGAUAG